rnacentral:lncRNA from 1 species
GGACCUUGAGUUCACUCUGAACUUGGACAUUUGAGGACUUGCCCUUCCACACUGCACUAUAAUCUGAUUCUGCAAUGACAUUUAGGGUGUAACCAUUUCCUGGAGCUUUUGAAGCUCCUUCGAUCUAUUACAUAUCCUAAAUAAGAGAAGGCUUUGGAAAUCUUAUCCUGGAAGUUGGUUUAUCUCAUAUUAUUAGACUCUGAGUGUGAAUUAGGUUGAUUAGAUGUAGAUGUAAUCACUGAUGAAAUUUUACUUUUCUGUCUUAUUCAUUUGGUUAGUAAUAAAUUUGUAAUAACUAACUAGGGUGAGUAGUAACAAGGGAUGGGAUUGAAUGCAUGCAAAAAGGGAUAGAUAUCAUGACAAUAGAGGAUCGUUACUUCUAAAAUUCAUGUAUUUCAUAUAGAUACCAUGCCUAUAGGAAAAUACUAUUUCUGAAAUUCUGCAUUUUUCAUACAGUUAACUAGUGAAACUCUGCGCCUCAUAUAGAUAUUAUGUUCAUAGGACAUCUGCAGUUCAUAUAGAUACCGUGUUCAUAGGAUUUCUGAAUUUCAUAUAAAUAUCAUGUUCGUAGGAUUUUAUGCAAUUUCGUAUAGAAACCAUGUCUAUAGGUCUGCAUAUCAUAUAGUUAAUAUGCCUAUAUGACUUCUGUAUUUUUGCAUGUGCAUGAGUCAUUAGGCAAACUUAUUAUAGGGCUUAAAUAAUUGACUGCAUAUAGAUGACCUGCAUAUAAGAUUUUGCAUAAGAAAUAACAGCGGCUAAAUCAGUAAACGCCUAGAAAGCAUGCCUAUAGGAGUUAUCAACUAAAACUUCGAUCAUCCCCUCGCUCCUAAAGUAUAAAGUCAGUAGCAUUUUGUUUUACACUCAUAGAACUUAUGACCUUAUAACUGACAUUUCUUUUUCUACAAUCAGUUUACUCCUUUGUCUUUGAAACCAAUAGAUAGCAUGCUUAUAGGUCCAUUUAACACAUAGGCAAAAGGUUAGGUAAUUAACUAAUUGUGUCAGUCUUUGACAACUACAUCUAAGAAGCUCUAAUUUAGACUCCCUAUCUUUGAAAUAUGUGGUAAAUCAACCUGCCCUACACCUUAAUUUAAUCCAGAACAAAUCAGUACAUGUAAGACAUUUUAAACUACAUGUUGCUUUUCUUGAUUUGAGGAGGUUUAUUUGAGCCUUUUAACUCUUAUGUGCUUCUCGUAAUUGCCUUAUGUGUUUUGUUUGUUGCCUUAAACUUUUAACCUUUUGAAACUCUAAAACUCCC